UACGGAGGAUGCGAGCGUUUUCCGGAUUUAUUGGGUUUAAAGGGUGCGUAGGCGGACGCUUAAGUCAGCGGUAAAAUUGCGGGGCUCAACCUCGUCGAGCCGUUGAAACUGGGUGCCUUGAGUGGGCGAGAAGUACGCGGAAUGCGUGGUGUAGCGGUGAAAUGCAUAGAUAUCACGCAGAACUCCGAUUGCGAAGGCAGCGUACCGGCGCCCAACUGACGCUGAAGCACGAAGGCGUGGGUAUCGAACAGG
rnacentral:rRNA from 1 species